GCAGGUUUGGCCGAGUGGCUAGCUGUCCGCUUCAUAAGCGGAAGAUCAUGGGUUCGAUUCCCAUCUGCU
rnacentral:tRNA from 1 species